UACUUGGUUGAUCCUGCCACUAGUCAUAUGCUUGUCUCAAAGAUUAAGCCAUGCAUUUGUAAGUAUGAACAAAUUCAGACUGUUAAACUGUGAAUGGCACAUUAAAUCAUUUAUAAUUUGUUUGAUGGUAUUUACUACUCGGAUAACCGUAGUAAUUCUAUAUCUAAUACGUGCAACAAACCCCUACUUCUCGAAGGGAUGCAUUUAUUAGAUAAAAGGUUGACACGGGCUCUGCCCAUUGCUGCAAUGAUUCAUGAUAACUCAACGGAUCGUACGACCAUCGUGCCUACCAUGGUGGUGAUGGGUGAUGGAGAAAUUAGAGCAAAGGAAGGCAGCAGGCACGCAAAUUCCCUAAUCCUGACAUGGGGAGGUAGUGACAAUAAAUAACAAUACCAGGAUCAAUGAGUCUGGUAAUUGGAAUGAGUACAAUCUAAAUCCCUUAAUGAGGAUCCAUUGGAGAGAGAGUCUGGUGCCAGCAGCCAUGGUAAUUCCAGCUCCAGUAGCGUAUAUUUAAGUUGUUGCAGUUAAAAAGCUUGAAUUUUGACUUUGGGAUUGGCCGGCCGGUCCACCUAUAGUGUGCAUUGGUCGUCUCAUCCGUUCUGUCGGCGAUGCGCUCUUAGCAUUAACUGGCCAGGUCGUUCAUCCGACGCUGUUACUUUGAAGAAAUUAGAGUUAUUAAAGCUAGCCUAUGCUCUGUAUACAUUUGUAUGGGAUAACAUUAUAGGAUUUCAGUCCUAUUACGUUGUCCUUCAGGAUCGGAGUAAUGACUAACAGGGAUAGUCGGAGGCAUUCGUAUUUCAUAGUCAGAGGUGAAAUUAUUGGAUUUAUGAAAUACGAACAACUACGAAAGUAUUUUCCAAGGAAGUUUACAUUAAUCAAGAAUGAAAGUUGGGGCUCGAAGGCGAUCAAAUACCAUCCUAGUCACAAUUAUAAACGAUGCCGACCAGGGAUCGGAGGAUGUUGCUUUUUGGACUCCACCGGCACCUUAUGAGAAAUCAAAGUUUUUGGGUUCCGAGGGUAGUAUGGUCGCAAGCCUGAAACUUAAAAGAAUUGACGGAAGGACACCACCAGGAGUGGAGCCUGUGGCUUAAUUUGACUCAACACGGGGAAACUUACUAGGUCUAGACAUAGUAAGGAUUGAUAGAAUGAGAGCUCUUUGUUGAUUCCAUGGGUGGUGGUGCAUGGACGUUCUUAGUUGGUGAAGCAAUUUUUCUGGUUAAUUCUGUUAAUGAACGAUACCAAAGCCUACUAACUAUCUAUGCGGAGGUAUCCCUUCGUGGCCAUCUUCUUAGAGGGACUACGACCCUUUAGGCUGCGGAAGUUUGAGGCAAUAACAAGUCUGUGAUGCCCUUAGAUGUUCUGGGCCGCAUGCGUGCUACACUGAUGUAUUCAAUGAGUUUAUAGCCUUGGACGACAGUCCCGGGUAAUCUUUGAAAUUUCAUCGUGAUGGGGAUAGAUCAUUGCAAUUGUUGGUCUUCAACGAGGAAUUCCUAGUAAGCGCGAGUCAUCAGCUCGCGUUGACUAUGUCCCUUCCCUUUUUACACACCACUCGUCGUUCCACUGAUUAAAUUAUCUGGUGAAAUAUUCGGAUCGCGGUGACGUGGGCGGUUCGCUGCCUGUGACAUCGUGAGAAGUCCAUUGUCGAAACCUGCACAGCAGAAUGACCCACGAAUAUUUUUAACAACUGGGGUAUCCGCA
rfam:Capsicum annuum cultivar Zunla-1 unplaced genomic scaffold scaffold5760, whole genome shotgun sequence